UUAUUUCCCCUCCCUACAAGGACAUACUACAUCUAUUCUGCAAAGUAAGAUCUCCAAUUGAAACCUGUGCAAACAUUAGCCUGAGAAACAUUGUGAACCCAUUCACCUAUCACCCAGCAAGUCAUUACAUGUGCUGUUCUCACCAAAUUUUGAGUUAAUCAGCUUGCUUCUGGGCAGAAUGCUUUGCUGAACUAAAAGGUUAAAGACUUUGGGCUGCAGAGCUCUACCAGAGCAUUUAGGUAUUAGAACAAUCAACAAAGAGGUCAAAAACGAAUACAAAUGUUUUUCAGGAUUGUAUUAAUAUUCACAACCUCUCCAAAAAUAGUACAAUACAAUCAGAAAAAUAAGGAAACCAUGCUUCAUGCAGAUGUUAUAGGCCUCAACAGCGAUGUGUUUAAAUUAGUUCUGUUCACUUGUUAGCUACUGUAAGCAGCAUGAUUUUUCAACCAAAGAUAAUGUUUGAUAACUGCAUUUCAAUAGCAAGGCAACCCUCACUGUAGAGAUUGUAUAGAGCAGCGUAUCAUUUAGAAUUUGCACUUUUCUUUUCAUGUGAUCUAUAUUUAGACUGUAAUUUGCUGGAACAUAGCUGCUGGUGCGAGGACAGCACAGUUUACGUCUUAACCCUUAGACCAACCACACGGUAUUAAGAUAACUACCAACAGAUGUUGCAAGUGAGAUGGAGGUGAACAACUGGGUGGUCGUGUGAAAAUGAUUAAGCUGUCUGGUACGUCUGCUGCACAUGUUCAUAUCUCGCAAGGACAGAACAAGUUGCAGGCAUUAAAGACUAAAGAAGCCUACAGGUCCUCUCCAGGUUACAAUCGCCAGACCUACCGACCUCCAUCAGAUUACUUCUUAUUCUGCAAUUUUGAGGAAGUCCAGGUCUGAUGUCUUUCCGUCUGAAGAAGGGUUUCGGCCCGAAACGUCGCCUAUUUCAUUCGCUCCAUAGAUGCUGCUGCGCCCGCUGAGUUUCUCCAGCAUUUUUGUGUACCUCUGAUGUCUUUCCUGACGCUUGUCCCUUAUCAUCUGGUUAUCCUUGUAAAUCUCUUAAGCACUUCAUUGCUGUUUCCUAUAGUCUGGAUACAAACAGUCCAUAGUAUUCCACAUAUAGUCUAAUAAAUACUUUUUACAAAGUUUAAAACAGCUUCUCCAGGAAUUUGAAUUCUAUUCCUUCAAAUAUGUACCUCAGUUUUUUGGUUACCACAGUUACAUCUGAUGUACCCUGUGGCAUAUUUAACAGUUUUUCCAUGAGGUAAAUUCAGAGACUCAGCAGUGAUUCAUCAGACACCAAUACUGCAGUUCUUCACUCCAGUGCUAAUCUCAGUGGCAUCGCCCAGCCAUUGUGUUGGUGACUAGUUCUAGCUACUACACAUCAGGCAAUAACAGCACAAGUCAAAGAUAAUAGCAAAUUAACUAGAGUUUUAUGAAAGCGUACCAUUGCAAUUUUGAUCCUUGAUUUCAUGUCAUCUCACUUUUUAGUUCAGUUCUUGAAUGUAGUUUGAAACUCUGUGGUGCAAAGCAUUGCUACUUAUACGGUGGAUUUGUUGACAUUUGCUGUUUAAAUUGCCAGACUCUGCUACAAAGAGAGGCUUGCAAUAUAUGUGGCAACUGCCCCAGCAAUUUGUGAACUGCAAGUUGCUUUCAGUCCUGUAACAUGCCCUGGAGUGGAUCAGAAUUCAAAUAUGCAUCACUUAAAAAGACAAAUUUAUGCAGUGAUAGCUGAGCAACAUGUCUGCUGCCAAGCACAAUAUUCACUCUAUUAACUUUGUUUUUUCUUCCUCGGGGUUGAGAAUGACUUGUUCACACAUCAGUUCUGAGGUUUCUAAGAUUAUUUCUCCCCACCGCACUGACUGCCGUCUGCCUGGUACCUCUUUCCAUGACAGAGCUUGGAAUAGACCAUCUGUUUCAUGAGUCUGGUAACCGACCCGCAAAUGACGUGACCAAGGCACUGCACUGUUGAGUGUAAUUGGGGCCUUGAUGCUGGAGUUGUUGGCCUCGGAAAGGAUGCGGAUCUGUUUAUUCUUUCUGUGGAUUUGGAAAUCAUUUGCUUUGGUUCAAAGUAGCUGCUGUAAAUAGUCUCACAAGUGCAUAAAGAGGCAGGGGUCACUGCUGCUCUAUUUUGUGAUGCAUUUUACACCCUGACUUUUAAACAUCCUUCCACUGCGUCAGCCAGCGUAUGUGCUGAUGCACCGAAGACGGUGACAAACUUCACCGCUAAUAUCUCCCUUCACCACGAAGGAAAUCAGUCCCCGCUUUCCCAAGGUCCUGUCACAAACCUAUCAUAAGGGGAUGAUUUUAAACAGCAAGUGCAAAUUAGCAAAUGGCAUUUAUCUGGCAAACAUUUCGCGCAAGACCCAUUCACUUGUGUGUUUCUAUGUAUGACUCAGAACUCAGCCUUUGAACAUGUACAAAUUAAAGUGACAUUGUGUAUCACACUCCACUAAAGGCGCUUGGUUGUGGAGUGCAACAGUAAGUUGUUGUUUCCCUUUCAUCCUGUAGAUCACCCACACUCCAAGUGGAAACAAGAUGCAGUGAAAUAAAUUUGAUAGCAUUGGGAGAAACUAUACAGCCUUGUUGAAACCCAAGCAAAAUGUUUGACAGUUACAGGUUUUGUACACUGCAGCAAAACUAUAAAUGCACCAACAAUAUACUAUCUGCAGCUUUGGUAUAAUUUAGUAUCAGUGAAUGGGAAAUACCUUGCUGCUCAGGUUUUGGUAAUGCAGGUGUGUUUCUUUGCUGGAAUGGAGUUCAAUAUCAGCUGGAUCAUUUUAGGACAGCAGUUGUGAGGGGAGGGGUGGGGUCUCUGCCUUUAAAAUCGACAUCAUCUAUUUCCAAAGAUAGGUCACAUAGUCUUCCUUAUGUACACCAGUUAACACCAGACAGGUUUUGAAUGUGACUGCCCGAUUCUAUUGAGAGGUUGGAGUGGAAGGCCAGUGACACAGUUACUUGUUUUACUAUACUGUUGUUGCAAGUGUCAUCUUCUAUGCUGUUGUCUGCUGGGGUAACAACAUCACUGAUAAAAACAGCAAGAAGCUGGACAAGCUGGUGAACAGAGCUAGCUCAGUACUGGGGGGAGAGUGGACUCUGUGGUGGAUGUGCUUGAGAGGUGUAUGAGGAGCAAGGUGCAGGUCAUCCUCAACAACUCCGGGCAACCCCUCCAUGAAACUCUGGAGGGUCAGAGGAGCACACGGAACAACAACCGGCUCCUCUCACUGCGCUGUAGAACAGAGUGGUUCAGGAGAUCCUUCACCCCUGCAGCCAUUAGAUUUUAUAAUACUGACCGUUAAGCUCCAUGUGGAUGCUUUGCACUUUUAAUAGUUAUUUAUUGGGUUCUUUUUAAGUGUUUAUUGCUUUCAUGUGUUGUCCAUAUUUCAUGUAUUGUCUGCUUUUGUUCUGGCUGUGUUGGCUACUGGACAUCUGAAUUUCCCUGAGGGGAUUAAUAAAGUAUUUAUCAUCAUCAUCAUCGUCAAAAAUGGGGAUUGUAGCCAAGUAUGCUGCUAUAACGGUGGACAAUGUGGCCCAAUGUCAUGCACCUCCGCCCAAUAUUUGCAUCACCCCAACAUUCCACCCCACCCCCCUUUUCCUGCUCUCAUCUUUAAAAAAAUACUACUCCGUGUCUUCUUUGAUCAAACUGCACAGAAGAUGAAGAAACAACCUUUGUGCAGUUCGAACAUAGAAACAUGUCACUGUACGCCUUGAUGAAGAAAAUGUACACCAAACCAAGUCAGUCUGGAGAAGUGAUCAAAUAGUUCUUAAUGGGGAGAAGGCAGGCACGGGUUACUGAUUGUGGACGAUCAGCCAUGAUCACAAUGAAUUGCAGUGCGGGCUCAAAGGGCCACAUGGCAUCCUCCUGCACUUAUUUUCUAUGUUUCUAAAAGAAGUGAAGGUGAUUAAAAAAAAGGCAAAACAGUUAAAAGUGGAACCAGAGAGCUAGUGUAAAAUGGCAUGUUAAAAGUAGGGGCAAAGGAACGAGGUAAUACAGAGCAAGUCUGUGGAAAAGAUAUGUAGAGGAUUGAUUUUUGUUUGGGGGUGAGAAAUAAGUGAUGAAACAUGAAGCAAGGAAACUGCAGAGCGCGGAGAAUCCUUGCCAAUACAGAUCAGCAACUGCAGCUGUGACAAGAUUAGAAUAUUGACACAAAAAGCUGGAGUAACUCAGCGGGACAGGCAGCAUCUCUGGAGAGAAGGAAUGAGUGACAUUUUGGAUCGAAACUCUUCCUCAGACUGGAUUAGAACUUGAUCAAAGUCAAAGUCAAAGUAGCCUUUAUUGUCAUUCAGACCUUGCGGUCUGAACAAAAUUUUGUUGCCUUGCAGUCCUACAUAUAGUAAAAAUGACAAAAACGCACAAUAAACAAAAAUUAACAUCCACCACAGUGAGUUCACCAGGCACCUCCUCACUGUGAUGGAAGGCAAAAGUCUUAGGUCUUUGUCUCUUCCCUUCUUAUUCUCCCUCUGCGCCGAGGCGAUACAGGCUUCGGAUGUUGUGAUCCCGCCGGGUGAUGGUAAGUAAUGUCAGUCCCGCGGCUGAAUCCAAGCUCCGCGAACGGGCCGGUUCAACUCCACGGCCCGGGGUGGUCGAAGCCGCCGAAGCUGCGGCCCUCCAGUCCAGCGGACGCAGCUUUUGUCGCGGGAGCUCCGGAGAACAGGUCACCAACCUGCGACCCGCGAGCUCCCGACGAUGUCGUCCACUGGGCCUGCUGAGCCCGCUGCCCCGUGGUCGGGUCGCUGCUGCCGUUGCCCGCUC